ensembl:miRNA
CUGGGCUUUCCCAUUCCAGGCGGUGCAUUCAGGAGGAGGCCACAGAGUAGAGAACGGGGCCCUGGACUUGGAGUCAGAACAUCUG